rnacentral:rRNA from 1 species
GACGAACGCUGGCGGCGUGCUUAACACAUGCAAGUCGAACGGAAAGGCCCUGCUUUUGUGGGGUGCUCGAGUGGCGAACGGGUGAGUAACACGUGAGUAACCUGCCCUUGACUUUGGGAUAACUUCAGGAAACUGGGGCUAAUACCGGAUAGGAGCUCCUGCUGCAUGGUGGGGGUUGGAAAGUUUCGGCGGUUGGGGAUGGACUCGCGGCUUAUCAGCUUGUUGGUUGGGUAGUGGCUUACCAAGGCUUUGACGGGUAGCCGGCCUGAGAGGGUGACCGGCCACAUUGGGACUGAGAGACGGCGCAGACUGCUACGGGAGGCAGCAGUGGGGAAUAUUGCACAAUGGGCGGAAGCCUGAUGCAGCAACGCCGCGUGCGGGAUGACGGCCUUCGGGUUGUAAACCGCUUUCGCCUGUGACGAAGCGUGAGUGACGGUAAUGGGUAAAGAAGCACCGGCUAACUACGUG